CCACCCCUAAAUUCUCUCAUCCUCUCAAACUCUCUCUAAACCACUCGAAACCCUUGCCGCCUAUAUCGUCAUCUCCUAUCAGUUCUUACACGUCCAUGGCUUCCCAGGCCAUAGACGGCCUAUAUCCUCUUCCCUUCACCCCAGACCAUGAUUAUUUGAAGCUUUCAAGGUCCGUUCUUUGACAGACCUAUCCAGGUCCUCCACUGACCUGAGCCCCUAUGGUUUCUCCAGCUCUGUCCCAGUGUGUUCAAGCUCUAAAAAGCUCUGCCAUGGCCCAGACUUGUUUAAAGACCAGAUCGUUCUAGGUCUUCUCAUUUCUAGGGUUUCUGAGAAACCCUAAAAAGCUUGUUCGAGAUUUUUCUUCACUAGUCUUCUUAGAUCUAUAACAGAUCUGUGCUUUAUUCAAUGUUUUAAUGAUUGUCCCUAAUUUUCCCUUUCAAAAUUAGUCUGUUCAAAAUUAGGGUUUUCAAAAAAUCCUAAAACAAUUCUUCUUCUUCUUUCUUUCUUUAUGUGAAUCUGUGUGUGUUCU
rnacentral:lncRNA from 1 species